CCUUGGGAUACCUCCCACCAGCAACUCUUUUGUCCAAAGAAGCGGGGAAUCUCUAACCAUGGCCAAGGCCCUAAUGCUCUUCCUGUUUCUGACCUUUUUUGGGGGUUGCGAUGCCCAAGUCACAAUGACUCAGCCGCCCUCUGUGUCGGCUUCCAUCGGAGAGACUGUUAGGAUCUCCUGUAGCAGAAGCAGUGGGGGCAUAAGUGGCUACUAUAAUUCCUGCUACCAACAGAAGCCUGGCAGUGCUCCGAUGCUGCUCAUAUAUACAGAUGACGACAGAGCCUCGGGAAUCUCGGACCGAUUCUCAGGUUCUCUUGACAAAUCUGCCAAUGCUGCCAUCUUAACCAUCUCCAACGUCCAAGUACAUGACGAGGCCGAUUAUUACUGUUUAACUUAUUAUGGCAGCAUGCAGUACACGAUGAUACAACCACAUGGGGAAAGGACUCAUAUGCAUCUCCAAGCCCUCUUGAAAUGGUGCGAGGAGCAUCCAGCAUCCUCCAAGGGCCCCCAGCUUCUCGAUUUAAAACCUCCUCUUCCCUUUAUGUCUAUUCAGCUCUAA